UACGAAGGGGGGCUAGCGUUGUUCGGAUUUACUGGGCGUAAAGCGCACGUAGGCGGAUCGUUAAGUCGGGGGGUGAAAUCCUGGAGCUCAACUCCAGAACUGCCUUCGAUACUGGCGAUCUUGAGUCCGGAAGAGGUGAGUGGAACUCCUAGUGUAGAGGUGGAAUUCGUAGAUAUUAGGAAGAACACCAGUGGCGAAGGCGGCUCACUGGUCCGGUACUGACGCUGAGGUGCGAAAGCGUGGGGGAGCAAACAGG
rnacentral:rRNA from 1 species